rnacentral:rRNA from 1 species
UACGUAGGGUGCAAGCGUUUAAUCGGAAUUACUGGGCGUAAAGCGUGCGCAGGCGGUUUUGUAAGUUUGUCGUGAAAGCCCCGGGCUUAACCUGGGAAUUGCGAUGGAGACUGCAAGGCUUGAAUCUGGCAGAGGGGGGUAGAAUUCCACGUGUAGCAGUGAAAUGCGUAGAGAUGUGGAGGAACACCGAUGGCGAAGGCAGCCCCCUGGGUCAAGAUUGACGCUCAUGCACGAAAGCGUGGGGAGCAAACAGG